rnacentral:lncRNA from 1 species
UGCACAACUAAGUUUCGGAAGGUAAGUGAAUAAAAUUUAUAAUUUAAAAAAAGAAAAAGAAAAAACGACGGGUCGUGUUAUUCUUGCGACCGGUCACCUUAAUCAACAAUAUUCAAAAUGACCGGUCGCUCCUAAUUUGCGACCGAUUGCGCGACGCGCUGGGUCCAUUUCUUCUUUCGUCUUUUUUUUCUCUCUCUUCUCUCUCCACGCUUCUUCUUCCUUGCGACAGACCAUCCCUCUUUCUCUCUCCUUGCGAUUUUUCUCUCUUACCUUUAGCUUCUAUGGAAAAUACAAUGAAACUAUUGUCAGAGAAUUCUUGCUGCUUUUCCUAGGGUGGAGACUUUUGAAAACCAGAAUGAGCCCAUUAAGGUUCAGGAAAAAAAAUGUUGUGCUCUCCCCUUCACUCAUUGUGAUAUUCUAAAUUUGCAUAGGGGGGGAUACUUAUGAUUGGAACCGAUAUGCGGCUAGUGAUUUCAGUUUGCAAGACGCAGCUGAAGAGCUUUUUUAUACUAACCCUGCUGCCUUUGCGUCUCAAAACAAAAAGACCGCCCUCAUUCAGGGUAAGUUGACACCCUACUUUGCCAUCUUGUGGAAUUUUGUGCGCCACAACAUCUAUCCAUCCGGCCAACGGUUGACAAUUACUACUAUAGGGGUAAAGGUCAUGAAAAUUUUGCAUGAGGGAACUUUUUCCCUACCUGUAGAGGACAUCAUUUUUCAUCACUUAAAGGCUUAUGCACGAAAGAAAAACAUCAUUUAUUAUCCUUGUCUUGUAAGCAUGAUCUGUGUACACUUUGGUGUUCGGGCACGUUCCGGUGACAUAAUUUCUGAACCCAUGGGUUCUAUCUUAGACACUUCGGUGUCUAAGAGUGUUUCUCAGAGGCGUGAUGCUCCCACACCAGUUACAGUGCCACACUCUAUGCCUCCACCACAGCCUCGUAUGCCAGCAUCCUCCAAGCCAUUUCCUCCUGCUCCUCGUAUUGAAACUUCCUCUUGGUAUCCCAGUCUCCAAGCUAUUUGGGACAUGCAAAUGCUGCAAUACCAGCAGAUGCAGCGGAUGGGCACAUGUAUUGAUGCCAUCACCUCUAGAUGUCAGGUCAGCCAGGGAUCAUUCCAGGAGAGGAUGCUGAUGCUGAUGAUGAUGACGAAUCGACUUUGAGAGUGUUGUUCCCAUUUUACUGUGGUUUUAUUUUUUCACAGUUGUUUUGUUUUAUUUAUGUCAUUUUUUAAUUUUUGUGUAACUCUGUUGUUUUGUCAUUUUUUGAACUUCACUAUUUAUUUUUUAUUUUUUUAUUUUUUUUAUCUUUCUUCCAACUCUUGUUUAUGAUAUUGUUUGUUCCUAAAUUUUCAUCAUUCACGACUAUGUUUCAUAUAAGUUGGGAAGUGGUUUGCUUUAUGAUUGCACACUUUAAAUCUUGGCUUAAAUGCUUAUUCAUUUCAAAACAUGUGAUUACAAACAUAAACCUGAUAAUGCAUACACAGAUUUCUAGAUCACAUGUUUCUUUUCGCAUUUUGAGCCGCAUGAUGCUUCAUGCUAACUAUCUCUGUUGGCUUUUUCUUGUAGGACCUGCACUAGCUCUGCAUAGUCUGCGUUUCUCUUUUUCAGUGCUCCUAUCUGUCUGUUGGCAUAAUCCAACAUCCGUUGUGACUCUGCAACUUGAGCCUUCAAAGAAGCUACUUCCUCAAUUAGCACAGCACACUCUUGUGCCUUGGCUAGUAGCCACAUACCAACCUUUGUAGCCAAGGCCGUGUUGUGCAUGGUUAGGGCGUGGGACUCCUCUACUGCAACCCUGUCAAACCUCUGUGCUAUGUGCCGAUGAUCUGUCGGUGUGAGUCUACUGGCAACCAUGCCUCCCAGCAAUAUUACUCUGUUCGGCAUUGCCUCAGUGAAUGUUGAGGCCGUGCCAUGAAGGUAGGAGGAGUUUGGGAAGACAUGGUUUGGAGAAGCAUUUAUUUGGGUCGACGGUAGCGCAAUGGAUAAAUUCAUAUUGAGAUCAUUGAGGGGAGUGGAUGAGGUUGCCAUUGUUUUUCUUGAUUAUUCGAUACUUUUCUCUGAGUUUUCAGGAAGAAAUGUGAAAUUGGUACGUAGGUGACGAGGGGUAAAUUUAAAUGCUAUUCAAACAGACACAGCAAUAUUCACACACUUUAAAACUUGACCAAAGAUGAUUAUGACUAGUCAACAACUAGUCAUGAAAGCCAUAACCAAGAACACACACAGUGCAUAGCAAGCCUAGAAGAUUACUAGUGACAACCUAGGCACUCAAAAGGACCCGUCAAUCUAGGCAUCCCCUGUGCUAGCAACAACUAUGGUGAAAGUGUGUGAAAGCAUCAUAAUCAAGUAAACAACAAAUAAUGAUGACUAGUCAACCGCAAGAACAUAAAC